AGGUAAGCUACUAAGAGCGAAUGGUGGAUGCCUUGACUGGUAAAGGCGAUGAAGGACGUACUAGACUGCGAUAAGCUACGGGGAGCUGUCAAGAAGCUUUGAUCCGUAGAUUUCCGAAUGGGGCAACCCAAUGUAUAGAGAUAUACAUUACCUAUAUAGGAGCGAACGAGGGGAAUUGAAACAUCUUAGUACCCUCAGGAAAAGAAAUCAAUAGAGAUUGCGUCAGUAGCGGCGAGCGAAAGCGCAAGAGGGCAAACCCAGUGCUUGCACUGGGGGUUGUAGGACUGCAAUGUGCAAGAGGUAAGUUUAGCAGAACAUUCUGGAAAGUAUAACCAUAGAGGGUGAUAGUCCCGUAUGCGAAAAACAAACCUUAGCUAGCAGUAUCCUGAGUAGGGCGGGACACGAGGAAUCCUGUCUGAAUCCGGGUCGACCACGAUCCAACCCUAAAUACUAAUACCAGAUCGAUAGUGCACAAGUACCGUGAGGGAAAGGUGAAAAGAACUGAGGUGAUCAGAGUGAAAUAGAACCUGAAACCAUUUGCUUACAAUCAUUCAGAGCCUUAUGUAGCAAUACAGGGUGAUGGACUGCCUUUUGCAUAAUGAGCCUGCGAGUUGUGGUGUCUGGCAAGGUUAAGCAAACGCGAAGCCGUAGCGAAAGCGAGUCUGAAUAGGGCGCUUAGUCAGAUGCUGCAGACCCGAAACGAAGUGAUCUAUCCAUGAGCAAGUUGAAGCUAGUGUAAGAACUAGUGGAGGACUGAACCCAUAGGCGUUGAAAAGCCCCGGGAUGACUUGUGGAUAGGGGUGAAAGGCCAAUCAAACUUCGUGAUAGCUGGUUCUCUCCGAAAUAUAUUUAGGUAUAGCGUUGUGUCGUAAUAUAAGGGGGUAGAGCACUGAAUGGGCUAGGGCAUACACCAAUGUACCAAACCCUAUCAAACUCCGAAUACCUUAUAUGUAAUCACAGCAGUCAGGCGGCGAGUGAUAAAAUCCGUCGUCAAGAGGGAAACAACCCAGACUACCAGCUAAGGUCCCUAAAUCUUACUUAAGUGGAAAACGAUGUGAAGUUACUUAAACAACCAGGAGGUUGGCUUAGAAGCAGCCAUCCUUUAAAGAAAGCGUAAUAGCUCACUGGUCUAGUGAUUUUGCGCGGAAAAUAUAACGGGGCUAAAGUAAGUACCGAAGCUGUAGACUUAGUUUACUAAGUGGUAGGAGAGCGUUCUAUUUGCGUCGAAGGUAUACCGGUAAGGAGUGCUGGAGCGAAUAGAAGUGAGCAUGCAGGCAUGAGUAGCGAUAAUUAAUGUGAGAAUCAUUAACGCCGUAAACCCAAGGUUUCCUACGCGAUGCUCGUCAUCGUAGGGUUAGUCGGGUCCUAAGUCGAGUCCGAAAGGGGUAGACGAUGGCAAAUUGGUUAAUAUUCCAAUACCAACAUUAGUGUGCGAUGGAAGGACGCUUAGGGCUAAGGGGGCUAGCGGAUGGAAGUGCUAGUCUAAGGUCGUAGGAGGUUAUACAGGCAAAUCCGUAUAACAAUACUCCGAGAACUGAAAGGCUUUUUGAAGUCUUCGGAUGGAUAGAAGAACCCCUGAUGCCGUCGAGCCAAGAAAAGUUUCUAAGUUUAGCUAAUGUUGCCCGUACCGUAAACCGACACAGGUGGGUGGGAUGAGUAUUCUAAGGCGCGUGGAAGAACUCUCUUUAAGGAACUCUGCAAAAUAGCACCGUAUCUUCGGUAUAAGGUGUGGUUAGCUUUGUAUUAGGAUUUACUCCGAAAGCAAGGAAA
rnacentral:rRNA from 1 species